UGGGGAAUUUUGGGCAAUGGGCGAAAGCCUGACCCAGCAACGCCGCGUGAAGGAUGAAGUAUUUCGGUAUGUAAACUUCGUAAGAAUAGGAAGAAUAAAUGACGGUACUAUUUGUAAGGUCCGGCUAACUACGUGCCAGCAGCCGCGGUAAUACGUAGGGACCAAGCGUUGUUCGGAUUUACUGGGCGUAAAGGGCGCGUAGGCGGUGUGUCAAGUCAGUUGUGAAAUCUCCGAGCUUAACUCGGAACGGUCAACUGAUACUGUCACACUAGAGUACAGAAGGGGCAAUCGGAAUUCUUGGUGUAGCGGUGAAAUGCGUAGAUAUCAAGAGGAACACCUGAGGCGAAGGCGGGUUGCUGGGCUGAUACUGACGCUGAGGCGCGAAAGCCAGGGGAGCAAACGGGAUUAGAUACCCUCGUAGUCCCUGAGCGGGCUGGCAAGGCGCAU
rnacentral:rRNA from 1 species